rnacentral:rRNA from 1 species
ACGAACGCUGGCGGCACGCUUAACACAUGCAAGUCGAACGAGAGAAGAGAAGCUUGCUUUUCUGAUCUAGUGGCGGACGGGUGAGUAACACGUGAGCAAUCUGCCUUUCAGAGGGGGAUACCGAUUGGAAACGAUCGUUAAUACCGCAUAAUAUAAUUGAACCGCAUGAUUUGAUUAUCAAAGAUUUAUCGCUGAAAGAUGAGCUCGCGUCUGAUUAGCUAGUUGGUAGGGUAACGGCUUACCAAGGCGACGAUCAGUAGCCGGACUGAGAGGUUGAUCGGCCACAUUGGGACUGAGACACGGCCCAGACUCCUACGGGAGGCAGCAGUGGGGAAUAUUGCACAAUGGAGGAAACUCUGAUGCAGCGAUGCCGCGUGAGGGAAGAAGGUUUUAGGAUUGUAAACCUCUGUCUUCAGGGACGAAAAAUGACGGUACCUGAGGAGGAAGCUCCGGCUAACUACGUGCCAGCAGCCGCGGUAAUACGUAGGGAGCGAGCGUUGUCCGGAAUUACUGGGUGUAAAGGGAGCGUAGGCGGGAUCGCAAGUCAGAUGUGAAAACUAUGGGCUUAACCCAUAAACUGCAUUUGAAACUGUGGUUCUUGAGUGAAGUAGAGGUAAGCGGAAUUCCUAGUGUAGCGGUGAAAUGCGUAGAUAUUAGGAGGAACAUCAGUGGCGAAGGCGGCUUACUGGGCUUUAACUGACGCUGAGGCUCGAAAGCGUGGGGAGCAAACAGGAUUAGAUACCCUGGUAGUCCACGCCGUAAACGAUGAUUACUAGGUGUGGGGGGACUGACCCCUUCCGUGCCGCAGCAAACGCAAUAAGUAAUCCACCUGGGGAGUACGACCGCAAGGUUGAAACUCAAAGGAAUUGACGGGGGCCCGCACAAGCAGUGGAGUAUGUGGAUUAAUUCGAAGCAACGCGAAGAACCUUACCAGGUCUUGACAUCGUAUGCAUAGCUCAGAGAUGAGUGAAAUCUCUUCGGAGACAUAUAGACAGGUGGUGCAUGGUUGUCGUCAGCUCGUGUCGUGAGAUGUUGGGUUAAGUCCCGCAACGAGCGCAACCCUUACUGUUAGUUGCUACGCAAGAGCACUCUAGCAGGACUGCCGUUGACAAAACGGAGGAAGGUGGGGAUGACGUCAAAUCAUCAUGCCCCUUAUGACCUGGGCCUCACACGUACUACAAUGGCUGUCAACAGAGGGAAGCAAAGCCGCGAGGUGGAGCAAACCCCUAAAAGCAGUCUUAGUUCGGAUUGUAGGCUGCAACCCGCCUACAUGAAGUCGGAAUUGCUAGUAAUCGCAGAUCAGCAUGCUGCGGUGAAUACGUUCCCGGGCCUUGUACACACCGCCCGUCACGCCAUGGGAGUCGGUAACACCCGAAGCCUGUAGUCUAACCGCAAGGAGGACGCAGUCGAAGGUGGGAUUGAUGACUGGGGUG